CCCUUAGAUGUUCUGGGCCGCACGCGCGCUACAAUGAUGCAGGCAACGAGUGCUGCUCCUUGGCCGAAAGGCUUGGGGAACCUUGAAAACUGCAUCGUGCUAGGGAUAGAUGAUUGCAAUCGUGCAUCUUGAACGAGGAAUGCCUUGUAAGCGUGAGUCAUCAACUCGCGCUGAAUACGUCCCUGCCCUUUGUACACACCGCCCGUCGCUACUACCGAUUGAACGGUUUAGUGAGGGCCUCGGAUUGGUCUCGGCCCGCUCUUUACCGGGCGGCGCCGUUGGUCGAGAAGACGCUCGAACUUGAUCGUUUAGAGGAAGUAAAAGUCGUAACA
rnacentral:rRNA from 1 species